CGCCAAAAAAGGGGGCUAUAAUAGGUUUAAUGAGAGACACUGCCUCAAAAAAGAUCCUGCCACCAAGUCUGCCUGCCAGGAAGGGCUCCAUCCCUCACCAUGAGGCAACUGGUGAGGUGGCCCAGUGGACAAAAGAGCUUGCAGACAAGUCUGGUGAUCUGAGCUUCAUCCCUGGAACUCCCAUGGGCAGGAAGAAAGCCAAGUCCUGCAAGCUGUCCCUGUGACUUUCACGGGCAUACUGUGGCAUCAACCCGCAGGACAGCACACUUAAUUACUUCCCCCACUGAAGAACACCUGGGUCAUCUCUCCAUUCUCUGCAAGCCACAAACCAUGCUGUGUGGACUGUUUGAUGCUGAGGUCCUGUAUUCAAGAGUGUGUGUUCUUACACCGAUGUUGACAUCUCCGAAUGGACGAAGAUGUACUUCAGACAUGGAUCAUGAGACCCUUGAGUGUUCAAUAGGCC
rnacentral:lncRNA from 1 species